rnacentral:misc_RNA from 1 species
CAAACUUCUAUUUUCUUAAUAAAG